AGAGUUUGAUCAUGGCUCAGAUUGAACGCUGGCGGCAGGCCUAACACAUGCAAGUCGAACGGUAACAUUUCUAGCUUGCUAGAAGAUGACGAGUGGCGGACGGGUGAGUAAUGCUUGGGAACUUGCCUUUGCGAGGGGGAUAACAGUUGGAAACGACUGCUAAUACCGCAUAAUGUCUUCGGACCAAACGGGGCUUAGGCUCCGGCGCAAAGAGAGGCCCAAGUGAGAUUAGCUAGUUGGUAAGGUAACGGCUUACCAAGGCGACGAUCUCUAGCUGUUCUGAGAGGAAGAUCAGCCACACUGGGACUGAGACACGGCCCAGACUCCUACGGGAGGCAGCAGUGGGGAAUAUUGCACAAUGGGGGAAACCCUGAUGCAGCCAUGCCGCGUGUGUGAAGAAGGCCUUCGGGUUGUAAAGCACUUUCAGUUGUGAGGAAAAGUUAGUAGUUAAUACCUGCUAGCCGUGACGUUAACAACAGAAGAAGCACCGGCUAACUCCGUGCCAGCAGCCGCGGUAAUACGGAGGGUGCGAGCGUUAAUCGGAAUUACUGGGCGUAAAGCGCACGCAGGCGGUUUGUUAAGCUAGAUGUGAAAGCCCCGGGCUCAACCUGGGAUGGUCAUUUAGAACUGGCAGACUAGAGUCUUGGAGA
rnacentral:rRNA from 1 species